UUGCUUCAGUAGCACACAUGCUAAAACUGAAACAAUACAGAGAAGAUUCGCAUGGCCCCCACGCAAGGAUAACACGUGAGUUUGUGAAGUGUUCCGUAUUUUU
rnacentral:snRNA from 1 species